rnacentral:rRNA from 1 species
UCAGGAUGAACGCUAGCUACAGGCUAACACAUGCAAGUCGAGGGGUAGCAGGGUAGCAAUACCGCUGACGACCGGCGCACGGGUGAGUAACACGUAUCCAACCUUCCCAUAACUCAGGGAUAGCCUUUCGAAAGAAAGAUUAAUACCUGAUAGUACUUUUUCAAGGCAUCUUGAGAAAGUUAAAGAUUUAUUGGUUAUGGAUGGGGAUGCGUUCCAUUAGAUAGUUGGUGAGGUAACGGCUCACCAAGUCUUCGAUGGAUAGGGGUUCUGAGAGGAAGGCCCCCCACAUUGGUACUGAGACACGGACCAAACUCCUACGGGAGGCAGCAGUGAGGAAUAUUGGUCAAUGGGCGAGAGCCUGAACCAGCCAAGUAGCGUGAAGGAAUGAAGGUCCUAUGGAUUGUAAACUUCUUUUAUAGUAGAAUAAAGUGAUCCACGUGUGGAUUUUUGUAUGUAUACUAUGAAUAAGGAUCGGCUAACUCCGUGCCAGCCGCGGC